AAAKACUGGGGCUCAACCCYWGAAAAGCAGUGGAAACUGCUAGACUUGAGUGUGGUAGAGGUAGAGGGAAUUCCUAGUGUAGCGGUGAAAUGCGUAGAUAUUAGGAAGAACACCAAUGGCGAAGGCRCUCUACUGGGCCAUAACUGACACUGAGAGACGACAGCUAGGGGAGCAAAUGGGAUUAGAUACCCCAGUAGUCCUAGCCGUAAACGAUGGAUACUAGAUGUUGC
rnacentral:rRNA from 1 species